UUGUCAAAAAAAAAUUAAAAAAAUUAGUCGUUAGUGGAAAAAUAAAUAGUGUAUAUGUUAAUAUUAAAUUAGAAGUGGAGGUCGUCAUUAGCAUAAAUUGAAGAGGUGAUUAGAUUAAUACAUGACAAUGAUGUAAUUAGAGCUUGAUAACUGAAAAUUAGGCAAUAUAAUUAAUCGAUACGCAUGCAAGUUGGUACCAACACGUGGACAAUCGAGUAAAAGGGGCAUAUACGCAGAACUACUUUAUCCUGCACAAGAUAUAUAAAGAGAUCUAUAUCAAUCAUUCAGUAUUUUAUUUGAUAUUCAGUUGAAUUCGUGGCGCUCAUAUGAAUCAUUUAAUUAAAGAGGAAACUCGUCCUACAAUGAAAUUUUCUUAAUUUGCAAAACUCGAUUUUGAAAUAUCGAAUUAGGAGUGAUUAAAUUUUACAACAGAAGUUUGACAUGACUCGACAGACAGAUAAUAAGAUAAGAAAGCAUUUCUAGGCUACUCUUUGGACAAAUUUGGCCUAGUGUCACACUUGGAAUUUUUUUACAACAACUUGUCUCUAUCGAUGUAUUUAUAUAUAGUAUCGUUGAUCUUGAACUCGGAUAGAGACAACAAAUACGACGACUAGUAGUCAAUUUAUGAUGAAUCCUCGCGAUACGUAUGAUAUAAUUUGGACGGAUUUAAUUAGUUUUAUAAUAUUCUUUCAUUGUAAAAAAUUUUUUUAGCAUUUUUAUUUUUAAACUUAACAAGAAUAAGAAAUUUAGGGAUUUGUUUCAACACAUAUCCUUCACAUGACCAAUCUAAAAUAAAUGAACCUAUUAUUAGGGAGAAAAAUCUUAUAGUUAGUUUCAUUGGAGAAUUAAGUAUUUAGGUUAUUGAUAAAUGAAAUUUCUCCACUCUUAAUUAUGAUUUUAAAUUUAAUUAAUUUCAAUAUAAAUGUAAACAGGUAAACACUAAAUAAUUCUUUUAAAAAAAAUUGUGAAUGAAUUACGGAAAAAUAUCUUGAAAAAUAUUUAUGGAUGUUGCACUUACCUAAUUAAAGAAAAAAGCAAGUGGAAUCUAUUUCAAAAUUAGUAGCCCUAACUUGGACAAUUUUUGAAUGGUCCUUCAUUUGCUUUUGAAUUAUUUAUUUUUCGAUGUUUACAUCAAACUAUAAAAAUUUGUCCACGUAUAAUGCUUACAUCAAAUUAUAUCUAAAUCUCUAUAUAUAUGGUCAAGUGACAACAUGGAUAAAUUUUUAAAGGGGUAAAGUAGGCUUAUUCGAAUCUCUUCGCUAAAAAAUCAGGCUACACACAUAAAAUUAGUUUUUCAUUAUAUUUUUAGCUUUUCUUGAUCAACACAUCAGAAAAAAAGACGCAUAUAGUAUUUCAUAAAUGUCAGAUCAGAAAAGGGAAGAACCACAUCCAUUGGUGGUGCGAUAUUGAUAUAUAGUGUAUCUUGACGCAAAUAUUAAUGGUUAAUUUCACGACUAUAAACCAUGACACACAAUAUAAAUAUCUAGGGAACAAGAACCAUAAAUUUGUCUUAUUAGGAUUUGAAGUGACAAAAAUCUCCUAAAAGUGCCAAAAGAUAGAUAGAAAUAUCGCAAAAAAAAAUAUUAAUAGAAUCAAAGAAUAUGAUUUGUGAUCUGCGAAGUCAAUUGAGUCUUUAAAUUAGUUACAAUAGAGUUAAAACACUAGGUAAUCGAUCUCUGUAUAAUUAUCCAUAUAAUAGAUGUAAUAUUUUAAUAUUAAAUUAAUCGCCAAAUAAUUACUUAUAAAAUUAAUCGAGAUACAUCUAAAUCGAUCGAACACGACUAUUAUAAGAACAAAUAUUAUUGACAUGGAUCUAAUUUUCCACCAUAGAAGUAUGAAAAUCUUGAUUUUAGUAUAAGUGGGGUCUAAAUGUUGGAUUUUUCAUUGACCAGGCUUGCAUUGGCUGUCAAAUCUUUUCCUCUGCCUUUUUAUUUAUAUAUAUAUAUAUGUAUGCAUUACUUUUUUGUGUGAUAAAAUUAUUUUUGUAUAUAUUAUUCACUUUCGGGCUUCUUCCUAUGGUCUCUACUGUCAACUCGUCUCACUCCAGUUUAUCAUAGCAACUACAGCAAGCUGACUAGCUCCUUGACUCUUAUGUCUAGCUCGCGUUCAUCCAUUUUUCGAGAAUUAAUCAAUAACUAGCCCUUCAGUCUAUUAAUUCUUUACUAUAGUGUGUCAUCUAUAGUAAAGGUUCAUCACUAGACAUUCAAAUAAACAUAUCAAAUCAAUGUAUGAGAAGAUAAAAACAAUUAACCAUAAUGGAAUAUUUGAUUUUGGAAUUGCAAAUUUAAAGAGAGGCUAAUCAAUCCAUGUGAUAAUCAAAGUUACUUUUCAUACAAGACCAAAAAAUAAAAAUAAAGGGCAAGUAUUUAUUUUUAAAAUUGAAAAUAAUACAUGGAAAUUGGAGUUAUAUUAAUUGACUUUGGACAUAAAUAUAAAUUAAAAUUGCUUUGAGCUUUUGUGAGUGACUUUAUAAAAUAGCCUUUUGAAGUUUUUAGAAUUUUGAAAAAUUAUAACAAUUCAAUGUCAAAAAAGCUUUUUGAAAUAAAAUUCCACAAAAUAUGAAAAUUAUAUUAUCCAUGGCCAAACGUACAAUAUAUAAAAUGUGAAGGAAAAGGAGGUAUUUUAAAGGCAAAUUAGUUUCGAACGAAAAAAUAUGUUAUUUUCCUUAAAAUAACCUAAUAAAUAAGAUUUAUGUCACAUAGACAGAGCGGAGAAAAUAGUGUAGGUGUAAAGCUCAAAAAAACCUAGUUAUUGGUGAUAGAUUAAACGAGAGGUUGUCAAAUCCCAUAUUAGUUAAUAGUUGAAAAGAAAAAAAAGAUAUUACAAAUACUAUUGCACGGUAGGCCUUUUAGAAAUGAUUGUACUUGUUUAAUGUCUUAAUCCAAAACGAACAAUAUUACAUCAUAUUAUAUCGAAAUUACGUUAUCAAUGUACAUAGUGAAUCCUAAAUCUAUGUAUGUGCGUCAUAGUUUUUUUUAAUAUAAAGUUAAAAGGCAGCAAUAUCAUAAAAAAUGAAAAUUUAAGCUCUCAAACAUGUGUUUUUUUAAGCCUUUCAUGUGAAUCUAAGUCAAAUAUUUUUAUAAUAAAGUACAAUAUUUAUGUGAAAUUAUAUGGUUAUCAAUCUAUUUCUAUGUAAAAGGGAAAACCUAACUUGCUAUUUUUAAUGUCAAUUAGGGAAUAAACACGUGUAAAUAUGCAUGUGCACAUAGUUGAGGGCGAAGCUAGAUAGGGUUGAAAGUCGUUUGACGAAAAAUUUCACUAUUUAUAUAUUAUUUAAAUUAUUUUUGUUAUAUAUAGUAAAUGUUGAAUUUUUUUGACUUUUUUUGUAUAUUUACUUUUUCAUAUGUUUUGAAUACACAUAAUUAGUGAAAAUUCUGAUUCUAUUAUUGCAUAAUCUUAUGUACUUUUGCAUUUUCUCGUGAUUUUCCAUGAUGCUCGCAAUAAAAGACAGACAGAUGAGCACGGGUCGAUGGAGAAAAACUUGUAAGCUUUUGAAGGAGUAUAUGAAUGCUAUUUUAGGUGAGUUCCCCGUUAAAAUAAUGAGAAAGAUAAGUUUAGAAAUAUACAAAGGCAUUAUACAUUAUACGAUUUACAUGGUACACACACUUUCAAGUCGAUUUGAUGAUGGCUUAUUAAAGUGACAAAUCCUUAAGAACUAUAUAUAUAUAGAACCAAAGGCACAAUAUAUGUCAUGAGUUUGAGUCAUGACAUUUGACAUUCACUAAUAUAACAUCGACACAAUAUAUAAUAAUGAAAUCCUGAAAAUAUUUUGAAACAUGGGUGUUUUGAAAUUUUUGACUCUCGUUUAUUUUCAUAAAUAAAUCUUAACUAAAAUCUAUUUAAACCGGCUCAAAAAUUCACAAUUACUCACCUCCAAAAGACAUUCUUAUAAAUUAUUGAUAUACAUUUAAUUUAUUUAUAUUAACAAAUUACCUAGAUACUGGUUGGAGUUAAUCUCACCGUAGUUAUAAGAAUUUCAGCUCGAUGAAUUAUCCAUUCUAUCGACAAAAAUGAUUUGAAAAAUGACGAAGAAGAAGGAGAGAGUUUAGGGGGUAGUUUGAUAGCAGCUAGUUAGAGUUAUGCAUAUAUUAGUAAUGUAAUGAUUAAUUAUGAGUAAAUUUAUAUAUAUUAUUUUAUGCAGUUAUUAGUUGUGCAUUAAUUAUACAUGCCUAUACUAUUCCACCCUCUAUCGUCGAUAAAACAAUACAUAGAUUUCCUUAAAAUUUAUACAUGUAUAAUUAGU
rnacentral:lncRNA from 1 species